CAGAGAAUAGUUUAAAAAAAUAUUAGUUUUGGGAAUUAAAGAUAAAGUAGUGUCUCUUUUUCUCUGA
rnacentral:tRNA from 1 species